rnacentral:lncRNA from 1 species
AAAAAACAGAAAAAAAUACCAUCAAUCUCUUAAGGACUAAUUUGUUGAAAAUUAAAAGUAAUAAUUGGUAGAUGGUAAUUAAAAUUCAAUUGAUAGAUAUGUUUUAGUAUAAAAAAAUAACAAAACGCUCUUGCUUUCGAUGCUCUAUCAUCAUCAAUACAGAAUUCAGAAGAUGUAAUUUCUGCAUUUUUGUUUGGAUUUUUUAUCUUUUAAGGAUUAGUUCGUUGAAACUUAAAAAUAACACAAUUAAUAGAUCGUAAUUAAAAUUCGAUUUACUUCAUAAUUAUCACCAAAUUGCUAUGUAUUUUAUUCAAUAUUUUGAUGAAAAUUCAUAGUUUUAAUUUUGACAUUUACAAACAAAAAAAGUUCCUUUGCUGACACAUACGCCACUUUUAGAUCCUUGUCCAUUGCAGCAUAGGGUACAAAACUCAGUUCCAAGACUGCAUCUUAAUCCAUUACAAUCUGGUGGUGGAUCACUGUCCACUGUUGCUGAUUCCGUAGGAACUGGUUCUGCAGCAAACAGUCUUGAAAAUAAAAGGUUAAAUAUAUAUUUUAGUUCUCAUUUUAGAAUGUAAUUGAGACAAAAGAAAAACAGAGAGAGUUUAAUUGUCUCAAAUUACAAAUAUUAGAGGACAAAAAAAACAUAAGGACCUAAUUGAGAAUAAGGAACAAAUAUGAAGACUAAAACAUAUAUUUAACCAAAAUAAAAAUAUCAUAAUGUUAUAAUUACGUUAAUUCUUUCAUAUUUUUUUUGCCUUUUAAUAUUAAAUAAAUACAAAACUAUUGGUGUCGUCUUUUAAAAUGCAUACAAAAAAACAAAAUAUUGUUUCCUUUCAUAAAACUUAAAAUACAAAAAUCAAAUUAAUCUACAAAUUACCUGAAGGUAUAACCAAGACCAUGAUUAGAAUUCCCAAUAAGAAAUUAUUGAAAUGAGAAGCCAUAGGAGUCUUAUAUGUCUAAGAUUUUGAAUACACCUUUCCGAAACA